GACGAACGCUGGCGGCGUGCUUAACACAUGCAAGUCGAACGGGCGAUACUCCUUCGGGGGUAAAGCUAGUGGCGGACGGGUGAGUAACGCGUGGGCAACCUGCCUCGGACAGGGGAAUAACCAUGAGAAAUCAUGGCUAAUACCUCAUAAGCUUCCGGAACCGCAUGGUUCAGGGAGAAAAGAUUUAUCGGUUCGAGAGGGGCCCGCGUCUGAUUAGCUAGUUGGAGAGGUAACGGCUCACCAAGGCGACGAUCAGUAGCCGACCUGAGAGGGUGAUCGGCCACAUUGGGACUGAGACACGGCCCAAACUCCUACGGGAGGCAGCAGUGGGGAAUAUUGCGCAAUGGGCGAAAGCCUGACGCAGCAACGCCGCGUGAAGGAAGAAGGUUUUCGGAUCGUAAACUUCAAUCUACAGGGAAGAAAAAAAUGACGGUACCUGAGGAGAAGCCCCGGCUAACUACGUGCCAGCAGCCGCGGUAAUACGUAGGGGGCAAGCGUUAUCCGGAAUUACUGGGUGUAAAGGGUGAGUAGGCGGCAUCGUAAGUCAUAUGUGAAAUCCCGACGCUUAACGUCGGGACUGCAUAAGAAACUACGGAGCUAGAGUACAGGAGAGGUAAGCGGAAUUCCUAGUGUAGCGGUGAAAUGCGUAGAUAUUAGGAAGAACACA
rnacentral:rRNA from 1 species